rnacentral:lncRNA from 1 species
AAAGAUGCGUGGAAAAAUGUGGCAUGAACGAAGACAUAUAUCAUUUGUUUGUAAAAUAUGAUUUUUCGGUAGAUUGUGACCUAUUAUUUCUAAUUGGUUAGGAUUCACAAUGUCAUCUCAAAGAAACGGAUCAUCUCUUAAAUAAUGAAAACUUAUAUUUAAAGUUGAAGCACGCCUUCAUUCUAGAACCCUAAAAAACUCUUUUAUUUCUUUAUUUUAGUUGAUUUAUAAUACUAAUCAUUCUUAUCUGAAUCAAAAAACACAUUUU